UUGAACUCGCCAGCGAGGAGAGCUGCAGUUUGUGAACUAGCUACCUCUCACAAAACUCCAAUUCUUUGCUUGCAAGAGACGAAGCUGGAAUCGUGGUCGCCCAGCAUUGUGUGUGAGCUGGGAGGAAAUAGACUGGAUGGUUGUGUGGUCCUGACAGCAGUAGGAACCAGAGGAGGCGCGGCGAUCCUUUGGGAGAAGAGCGUCGUGCAGCUCAACACAUAGGCCGUGGGCUGCUUCUCGAUCACUGCUAAGGUCACCCUCUUGCAGUGCUCCUCCUCAUUCUGGCUGACGACUGUGUACGGCCCGGUCGACGAUGGGCUCAAAGGCUCUUUCCUGGCGGAGCUGGUCCACUCUUCUCCACCCCUAGGCGAGCCAUGGAUAAUUGCGGGCGACUUCAAUAUCAUCUAUGAAGCAAGGGACAAGAGCAACCUCAACCUGAAUCAUCGCAUCACGGGAAUGUUCAGAAGGGCAAUCGACACGGCUGGCCUGAACGAGAUCAAGUGCAAAAACAGGCGCUUCACAUGGUCAAAUGAGCGGGAGGAUCUGACCCUGGUGAGCAUCGACAAGAUUUCCUGCAAUGUCGAAUGGGAGAGCCUUUUCCCCUCCCUCAUGCUGAUGGCUGCCUCAAUUGCCUGCUCGGACCACUACCUGCUGCUGCUAGCUGACACUACCGCACCGUCGACGAGGGCCACUUUCAAAUUCGAAGCUUUCUGUCCGCGCUUCCCGCGCUUCAAAGAAACAGUGGAACGUGCCUGGUAG
rnacentral:rRNA from 1 species